CAGCCGCCACGGUAAUACGAAUGGUGCAAGCGUUAAUCGGAAUUACUGGGCGUAAAGCGUGCGUAGGCGGUGAGUUAAGUCUGCUGUGAAAUCCCCGGGCUCAACCUGGGAAUGGCAGUGGAUACUGGCUCGCUAGAGUGUGUCAGAGGAUGGUGGAAUUCCCGGUGUAGCGGUGAAAUGCGUAGAGAUCGGGAGGAACAUCAGUGGCGAAGGCGGCCAUCUGGGACAACACUGACGCUGAGGCACGAAAGCGUGGGGAGCAAACAGGAUUAGAUACCCCCGUAGUCCCUGUCUCUUAUAC
rnacentral:rRNA from 1 species